AUGGAGUAUGGCGUGACGACGACGGUGGGGGAGGAGCAGGGGUGGGAGACGCCGAGGAGGGAGGGCUGCCGCAUCCCGGCGGUGCCGACGUGCCCGCCGCCGCCGCCGAGGAAGAAGCCCGCGGUGGAGCUCGGCAGGGGGGCGGCGCCGCGCCGGGAGCCGCCCAAGGGUGGGUACUUCCAGCCGCCGGACAUCGAGUCCCUCUUCAUGCUCGCGCCGCCGCGGAGGCACACCGCCUCCACCUGCGCGUAA
rnacentral:rRNA from 1 species